CAAACUAACCUAGUAGUUAGGAUUUUUAGUUACAUUAAAAAGAUAAAUUGUGCAAUUCAAUGUAGUUUGA
rnacentral:tRNA from 1 species